CCCAACACGCCUCUCAACGAUGCGUACCACGUUGGGU
rnacentral:sRNA from 12 species